GCCUUAGUAGCUUAAACAAAGCCCUGGUCUUGUAAGCCAAAGUUGGGGCUAUAUCCUCCCCCUAAGACA
rnacentral:tRNA from 1 species